rnacentral:lncRNA from 1 species
AGAAAUGAAGAGAUAAAAAAAUCUGAAAAAUCAGAAACAGCUGAGUUAAGAAAUACUUGAAGAUUUUGGCAUUUUGGGUAAAAAUUGGUUUAAUCCUGCAGUUUAAUCCUUCAAUUUUGAAACCUUCAAAGUGGUUGAUUUAUUCUUGAUUUAAAAGAUGAUUUGAGGGUUGCUUGACUCUUGUUCCAUUGCUGAAUUUCUGGGCUGAUCCUGCUGUUCAUUUCCUCUUGUUGAAUCUCUGCUGUUGUUUCUUCUUAGCCUCUAACUAAGUUUGCUGGUCUAUAUUGUUGUAUUCAGGUACAUGUUCUUUAAUUCUACCUAAUGUAAAGCCUGAUUCGAGUUUGAUAUGGAAAUCUGGAGCUUUGGAGCAUAGCGUCAACCUAUUCCUUUUGAUGUAGUUUAGUUUCAUUCUUAUUUUAAAUCAUGAGUUAUAUGGUGCAUGUUUUUUGCUGGUUGGUGACAGUAUACCUUAAGGGUCGAACUCGGAUUGGAAUUAGCAAGAGACUCAAUUUUCUGUUAAAUGUUUCAUAAUUAAAUGUUGGUGUUGUAUAACUGAACCUUUAUCAUGGUGUUUGAUUUGAGCCAUCAUGAAAGCUUGAUUAACAGUCUGCCUAGAUAAGUCAAUAGUUGAAUUUUUGCAUUCAACCACGAUUAGUAGCUUGCUUAGUCAGAUCUUGGACUCUUUUGCUUUGAGUCUUGGUCGAAGUUGUUGUCAGCAUGUUUAUAAGGCAUACGUAACUCUUUACCACAUGGAGGUUUCCUAAAGUUAACAACAUGUUUGAAUCUAUGAUCUCGUAGGUUUUUUGCUUGGGAUUUUAAGUUAUUAAACAUGUUACUUAAGAUUAUGCUGGUGUAAUGUCAAUUUCCCAG